UAACUUGCACCCGCAACCGGCCGUGCACGCUAUGCGCGCCGCACAAUAGAAAGGACUACGAACUACGCAGCCGGGUGCGUGCUGUGAUUUUUGAGGCAUCACGUCGGUCUCCUGCUGGCUAGCGGACUGCGCCCCCUCACCCCGGCUGUGAUCUGCAGCACAGCCAGGCCUGAGCUCUGCUCCUCUGACAUCUCCCCCAGCCCCGCGCAGGCCACCGCUCCAUUCCCCACGGCCAGAGAGUCAGUUGCUGGGUGCCCCUCUUGCAGUGGCCUGCUCACCAGACAUGAUCCGGCCUGCUAGUUAGCAUGCAGAAACAAACGACGAUGCUCAGAAGGGCCCUGCAGGAAUGUGAGGUGUAGUUGUAGUAAGCAGGAUUUGUGGCUUUAGACGCUCAAGACGUUCCCAGAGCAAGACAUCCUGUCAUUCGGCUUUGUGAGAUGAUGAAUCCAUAAUCUAUUCUCCCUGAGCCUGCCAAGCCUGCCUUUCCCUCCAGCCUGCCUACACGUACGCUGCGUGCCCUCGGAUGAACCUCAGUGGCUGUGGAAUGGCAGGGACAGAGGGGGGCUCAGUCCUUGGCUGUAAGGGAUGACACAACAUUGAUAAUCUUGGCACGAGCAGCAUUCUGCGGGGCAUCACACUGGUCCCUUUGAGAAUAUGGGGAUUUCACGACAAGAACAUGACAUCGGCAUACCUGGAGAUAAACGUGAAGCCAGUCACAUCAGGCCACAACGGAGCUAUAAAGUGUGAUAUAAAUUAUCUUAAUCAUGUGAUCACCAAGUGGAUGAAGCAUUCAAUAAUUUUGAAGUUUUCUAUUCUGCUACCCAACUUAAUGCUGUCCUUAAAAUAUUCUAUAUAUCUAUAUUUCUACUUUGGAAAUGUAACUUUACAAUUUCCAUUUGAAAGGCAGUGCUUUAUGAGCUGCAUUAAUGUGAGCAUUUUUUUUUACACUUGCUUACUGCUGGUUUCAUCUGACUCAUAUGGAUUAUACAGAGAUUCUAUUCAUAGUUCAGAAGCAUGUGGAUAUUUAAUUAUACAUCAUAUUCUUUUGCCCAUUUCAUAGAAUCUCCAGACUGGAUUCAUUCUAUACAUAUACUUGAAAGUUUGAAAACCUCAAGUGACAAGAAUGUUAAUGUGCCAACACUGUCAUAUUUAUUUCUCCUCAUACAUAUUCAAUUAUCCUGGCACACCAAGAUCUAUGUCAGACCCAAGCGCCAAAGUGUACUUUUCAACCGCUUUGGAUAUUCUGAGCUGACGUUAGCAAGGUCUUGAGCUGUUUGCGAGAGCAAGGUGGCCUAUAGUGUCCGAGAACAAACAGAUCUAUCCACAGUCCACAAAGAGCUCGGACUGGAAACCCUUAAUGCGAGAGAACAGCAUGUUUCAGAUGAAGAUUACAGCUGAUCCUGUGGAUUAUCUUUUAAUUAAAGAUGGUCAAAUUGUGCCGGGUCUAGUGGAGUGAACUCCUGGCCACUAAUGAAGUUUAACCAGAAGUGUUCCAUUUAAUUACAGUUAAUCAUAAGAGCCCGGUGUGCAAUGGGUGAUAAUCUUUCUAACAGACACUGCCUGACUGUUUUUAAAAAAGUUGCUGAGAGAAGAUUAAGUGCGAGUUAAUUAAGAGACUGUUGUUGAGCAAAACAUAAAACGAGAAAGAGAGAGAGAGAUAUAGAGAUCGAUCAGGCACUAAGACCCUGCAGAGACAGAGCCAAGACAGUCAAAAGAAAUGCAGUAGGGGAUCUGAGGUGUGUUUACUUGUGUAAGAUGCUCUGGGUAAAAGUGUCUGCUGAAUGUCUAGUGUAGAGUGCAGAGAGAGAGAUAUCCUUGUGUCCACAGGAAUCCUACUGUUUCUCUCCAGUUCUGCUUUUCCACUCGGGCAGGGCAGGGGCAGCUUAGCUCCAGGGGUGUGCCGAAGAGCAGGGGGCCUCAACUGCUUGACACCAGGGGUCCUGGGGUCAGAUGGAUCAGUGCGUGAGUGAGAGUGGCGGAUGUGAGUUGGAAGGUGCUGAGAGGUUACCGAGGGCAACAGGGAACAACAUAAAGCAAGAAUAGGCAGUUUUGAAUUCACCUGUGGAAAGGAGCGGGAAGAAACUCAUUUCCCAACCAAAUAACUGCCAUACUGCAAAAGGGGCCUCAUUCAACUCCUGCAAUAUCACAUUUCUGUUCAAUCUUGAUGAUAA